GACGAACCGUACGAACGUUAUUCGGAAUCACUGGGCUUAAAGGGUGCGUAGGCUGCGCAGCAAGUUGGGUGUGAAAUCCCUCGGCUUAACCGAGGAACUGCGCCCAAAACUGCUGUGCUCGAGGGAGAUAGAGGUGAGCGGAACUUAGGGUGGAGCGGUGAAAUGCGUUGAUAUCCUAAGGAACACCGGUGGCGAAAGCGGCUCACUGGAUCCCUUCUGACGCUGAGGCACGAAAGCUAGGGUAGCGAACGGG
rnacentral:rRNA from 1 species